rnacentral:rRNA from 1 species
CACGGGGAGGUAGUGACAAUAAAUAACAAUACAGGGUCCUUUCGGGUCCUGUAAUUGGAAUGAGUACAAUUUAAAUACCUUAACGAGGAACAAUUGGAGGGCAAGUCUGGUGCCAGCAGCCGCGGUAAUUCCAGCUCCAAUAGCGUAUAUUAAAGUUGCUGCAGUUAAAAAGCCCGUAGUCGAACUUCAGACCUGGCCGGGCGGUCUGCCUCACGGUACGUACUGUCCGGCUGGGCCUUACCUCUUGGUGAGCCGGCAUGCCCUUCACUGGGUGUGUCGGGGAACCAGGACUUUUACCUUGAGAAAAUUAGAGUGUUCAAAGCAGGCCUAUGCCCGAAUACAUUAGCAUGGAAUAAUAGAAUAGGACGUGCGGUUCUAUUUUGUUGGUUUCUAGAGUCGCCGUAAUGAUUAAUAGGGACAGUCGGGGGCAUUGGUAUUCAGGCGCUAGAGGUGAAAUUCUUGGAUUGCCUGAAGACUAACUACUGCGAAAGCAUUUGCCAAGGAUGUUUUCAUUGAUCAAGGACGAAGGUUAGGGGCUCGAAAACGAUCAGAUACCGUUGUAGUCUUAACAGUAAACUAUGCCGACUAGGGAUCGGGCGACCUCAAUAUGAUGUGUCGCUCGGCACCUUACGAGAAAUCAAAGUCUUU